GGUGUGUGUAGGUGUGGGUGUAGGUGUGUGUGUAGGUGUGUGUGUAGGUGUGGGUGUGUGUGUAGGUGUAGGUGUGUGUGUAAGUGUAGGUGUGUGUGUGUGUGUGUGUGUGUGUGUGUGUGUGUGUGUGUGUGUGUGUGUGUGUAGGUGUGAGUGUAAGUGUAGGUGUGUCUAGGUGUGGGUGUAGGUGUGUGUGUAGGUGUGUGUGUAGGUGUGGGUGUGUGUGUAGGUGUAGGUGUGUGUGUAGGUGUAGGUGUGUGUGUGUGUGUGUGUGUGUGUGUGUGUGUAGGUGUGUGUGUAGGUGUAGGUGUGUGUGUGUGUGUAGGUGUGUGUGUAGGUGUGUGUGUGUGUGUGUGCGUGUGUGUGUGUGUGUGUGUGUGUAGGUGUGUGUGUAGGAGUAGGUGUGGGUGUGGGUGUGUGUGUGUGUGUGUGUGUGUAGGUGUGUGUGUAGGUGUAGGUGUGGGUGUGUGUGUGUGUGUGUAGGUGUGUGUGUGUGUGUGUGUGUGUAGGUGUGUAUAGGUGUAGGUGUGUGUGUAGG
ensembl:lncRNA